rnacentral:rRNA from 1 species
AUUGAACGCUGGCGGCAUGCCUUACACAUGCAAGUCGAACGGCAGCAUGGGUGCUUGCACCUGGUGGCGAGUGGCGAACGGGUGAGUAAUACAUCGGAACAUGUCCUGUAGUGGGGGAUAGCCCGGCGAAAGCCGGAUUAAUACCGCAUACGAUCUACGGAUGAAAGCGGGGGACCUUCGGGCCUCGCGCUAUAGGGUUGGCCGAUGGCUGAUUAGCUAGUUGGUGGGGUAAAGGCCUACCAAGGCGACGAUCAGUAGCUGGUCUGAGAGGACGACCAGCCACACGGGGACUGAGACACGGCCCAGACGCCUACGGGAGGCAGCAGUGGGGAAUUUUGGACAAUGGGCGAAAGCCUGAUCCAGCAAUGCCGCGUGUGUGAAGAAGGCCUUCGGGUUGUAAAGCACUUUUGUCCGGAAAGAAAUCCUUGGCCCUAAUACGGUCGGGGGAUGACGGUACCGGAAGAAUAAGCACCGGCUAACUACGUG